GUGAGGAAUAUUGGUCAAUGGGCGGGAGCCUGAACCAGCCAAGUCGCGUGAAGGAAGAAGGAUCUAUGGUUCGUAAACUUCUUUUGCAGGGGAAUAAAGUGCAGGACGUGUCCUGUUUUGUAUGUACCCUGAGAAUAAGGAUCGGCUAACUCCGUGCCAGCAGCCGCGGUAAUACGGAGGAUCCGAGCGUUAUCCGGAUUUAUUGGGUUUAAAGGGUGUGUAGGUGGUUUGAUAAGUCAGCGGUGAAAGUUUGCAGCUUAACUGUAAAAAUGCCGUUGAAACUGUCGGACUUGAGUGUAAAUGAGGUAGGCGGAAUGCGUGGUGUAGCGGUGAAAUGCAUAGAUAUCACGCAGAACUCCGAUUGCGAAGGCAGCUUACUAAGCUACAACUGACACUGAAGCACGAAAGCGUGGGGAUCAAACAGGAUUAGAAACCCGGGUAGUCC
rnacentral:rRNA from 1 species